rnacentral:rRNA from 1 species
AUACGGAGGGUGCGAGCGUUAAUCGGAAUUACUGGGCGUAAAGCGCGCGUAGGCGGUUUGUUAAGUCGGAUGUGAAAUCCCCGGGCUCAACCUGGGACCUGCAUCCGAUACUGGCAGGCUAGAGUCUGGUAGAGGGGGGUAGAAUUCCUGGUGUAGCGGUGAAAUGCGUAGAUAUCAGGAGGAAUACCAGUGGCGAAGGCGGCCCCCUGGACUGAGACUGACGCUUAGGUGCGAAAGCGUGGGGAGCAAACAGGAUUAGAAACCCCGUAGUCC